CAGCCCGUGCAGGCACAGGGCACCGCCCCCACCGGCCGGAAGGGCGGGCGUGAGGCUGGCGCGUAUGCGCGGCCCGCCCGGGCGUGCCCAGUGGGUGUCAGGCGCGUGGUGCGGGCGGAAGUGGGGCUGGCGGUUUCCUCAGCGCGCGCUCCCCGCCCCGGGCUCGGACACAGCCAUGCCUGUUCAGUUGCUGAAGAUCAUUAAAGGAAAAUCUGAGACUCCACUGCCAAGCCAUUUGCAGGAGGAGGAUUUGAAAGAUUUGCAAGAAGGCCUUGAUCAUACCAACAAAUAUGUUCAGGGAAUAGUUAUUCUUUCCUACCCACUAACGAAACUUGGAGAUGGGACAGACUUUUUCAAGGUUGUUCUUCAAGAUUUGCACAGCUUUUCACGGAUUAACAGCAUCAAUAUUUUAAUAUAUGGAAAAAUGGCAGAGGACUGUGCAAAAGUUAUACACAAUGGGGACACCUUUGUAGUUGCAGGAUUUAAGUUGGCAAAAUCGCCUACAGCAAAAGAGGAUGGUAGACAUGGUUGCCACCUGGAGGUGUCUGAAGAAGCUGGAUCAGCCAUUUAUAUUUAUACUACACCAAAACAACAUGCUGCUUCAGAAACUGCAUCGGCGUCUGUUGCACCAAAAUAUGUGUAUACUCCUCUGAAUCACCUUAAACACGGAACUGUAGUGAACUUGUAUGGCGUUGUGAAGUUCUUCAAGCCUCCGUAUGUAAGCAAAGGAACUGAUUAUUGCUCAGUUGUAACACUCGUGGAUCCAUCGAAUGUGAAGUUAACAUGCACUCUUUUUAGUGGAAAUCUAGAUUCCCUACCAAAAAUUUACAAAGUCGGAGAUAUUGUUCGAUUUCAUAGGAUAAAGGUCAGGGAAUACAAUGGACAGAUGCAGGGAAUUACCAGUGCAGGAUUUGCAUCCUUGACAUUUGAUGGAACUGUAGGAGCACCAGUACUUCCUCGAACCUCUAGCAAAGUGUACACUUUCAUGGAUGAAGAACAGAAAACAAUAGAAGAAUUACGUGUUUGGGCAGCCAGUAAUCUUACCAUCUCUGGACCAGCCACAAAGUUGUCUGGUGUUCAGCCAAUGGUGUUCUUUGACCUCACUUGCCAGCUGGUAGGAAAAGCAAAAGUGGAUGGAUCUUCUUUUCUUCUGAAGGUUUGGGAUGGCACAAAAUGUCCCUACCCAACAUGGAAGGUGCCUGUGGAAACAGGAGACCUGGAAGGAGAAACAGUUCUUCUUCAUCAUCUGCGAAAUCUAACGGUGGAUAUUCUAGUCUAUGAUAACCAUGUACAGCUGGCAAAAUCACUAAAGAUUGGAAGUUUUCUGAGAAUUUACAGUAUUCAUACGAAACAAGCAAAUUCUGACAGUGAUGUCUCAUGUAUAGAAUUUCAUCUUCAUGGUGGCACCUGUUACGGUCGAGGAAUAGGAGUCUUACCAGAAAGUAACCCAGAUGUUAAGGAACUGAAAGCAUUCUUAGAAUCAGUGGAUCUGGCAGAGAGUCAGAAUAUGGAAAGCAUGUCUUCAUUGGAAUUAGAUGGCACUUUUAGCAAUAUUACAGAUCUUGAAUCACACCUACAGAGAUGUCAGCAGUUAUCUGUUACAGUAUUAACAGAUCAUCAGGAUUUGAAUAACACAGAACUGAAAACCAUUCUGAACAGCACAGCUCCUCAACAGUAUCGCAUUAGAGCAAAGCUGAGAACUUACAAACCCCAGAAGCUCUAUCAGUCUAUUAAACUUCAUUGUUCCAAAUGCAACUCUUUGCAAGAAGUUCCAGAUGGAGGUGACUUUGACUUAAUUUUACAAGGCUCUGCAGUUACUGCUCCAAACCUGGAAUUACACAAUACAUCCUGGUAUGAUUCUGUGAUGUGGACUACACGAGACCAGAAACAAAGGAAAAUAGUUAUCCAUUUUGUAAAGCCUGAUGAAAUGCUUCAGCAGCCCGAAGACACUUUGCUUAUGAUAGAAGUCCUGAUGCAGAAAAGUGCUGAGAGGCUUCUUAUAAUACAAGCCUACGAUGAACUUCGUCAGCCUCUGGAUGUCAGUGUUGUUUCAGAUUAAUAAAGCUUCUCACAGCAUGAGGUGGUACACUAAAAGAAAUCUGGAAGCUUACAAAAAGAUUCAAAUGUGUUAUUCCUGUGAGAUCUACAGAAGACGAUCUUGAAUUACUAGAUCUCUCAGCUCCUUUUCUUUUACAAGGGAACAUAAAAUAUUAUGGGUGCAAGCAGUGUUCAACUCCAAAGCCUAUCAAGAGUCUGAGUUCCCUUGCGGCAGAACAACAACCAUCAUGGGAACCAGCUGAAAUAGCACAAGUUUUAGGUAUUGAGCUCCUCCAGUAUGUUUUUAUAAUGAAGUUUACACUGGUUGAUGGAACAGGAGCAAUAAAUGCAUACCUUUUCGAUUAUGAAAAGUUUUUCCAAAUUCCUGCCUCUGAAAUCUUAACUAAUAAUUUUCUUCAGCAAAAGAUGCAGAUGACAAUGAAUAUGCUUUGCCCUCCAGGAAGAAAAUUAGAUGACUUGCCGUGGCUGGAAUGCUUCAUCAAGUCCUAUAAUGUCAGAGAUGCGACAAAACCUCGAGUUUGUUACCAGAUUUUUGACACUACAAUUGCUGAAGAUGUUGUAUAGUGAUGUGUUGCUAGUAGGAAGUAAUCCAGAAGAGUUCAAUUUUGGGUGUUUUUGGGAUCAGAGACUGUAUACAAGAACCUUUGUGCCUUUCAACCCGUAUGAUGUUUUAGUUUGUAUAUUAAUGUGAAUGGAAAUUAUGCUUUGAUGUAUAUACUACUUUCCUGGCGUACAGCCUUGUGACCGAGCGCAAGUGGAGGUGCUAAGCUUUUCACAGGAGGCUGCUUGGCUCAGGCUGAUGGAAGCGAUCUGGUACCCAUCUGUCCUUCAAAAAGGUGGUGAUGAGGUUACUUGAAACUGGUGAGUUUUAUGCAGAAAAUAUAGUCAGAAUUACGCUGCUUUGUUCUUUCCUGUAUUAAAAUAAACAAUGUUAGCAGAGAUAGGGCAAAGGAGCUCUUCAAUGAACUUUCUCUCAGACGACUUUGUGCAAGCAUAUAUUACUGUUCUCAGUUAGCAAGUUUGACAGGGAGGUUGUCUGUGUUUAGAGACUUCUUUUGGUUUUGCACUGAUAUGUACAUGUAGAGAGAACUCUUCCUGUUAAUCAUACUAGGAUAACUGCUAUGCGUACUAGUUACUGUAGAUUCCGACAGAACUACGAAUGUCACCAUGUAAUGAUUUUCACUAAAAUUUAAGUCAAGCCAUGAAAAGUAAGUAGUGUAAAACUGUAAAGUGCAUAUUGACAUUUGCUAGAUGGUAAUGCUUUCUAAGGUGGCCGUAUUGGGUACCACAGUUAGCAGCAUGCUUAUUAGCUGGGUCUGAGUUUAAAGGCUCUCACAUGUCUGGCUAAAUCUACUGUCAGAUUACACUGCCCAGAUCUUCCUUUUCUGCCUUACAUAAUCAGAUUGUAUGACUAAAUUUAGAGAUACAGAACAGUGAUAUCAUGGAUUGUAAAUACUGCUGGACUAGAAAAAAUACUUAGUGGUUUUCCUUUGCGUUCAGAAGUCUGUAAGAGAUUCAGGACAUGUUUCUCCAAGGAUGAUUAAUGUAGAAAUCCCUGUCAAAUCAAAUGUUUUCUAUCAGAGCAAAAUUACUUAGUAUUUGCAACAGCUGUUUCUUAGGGAAGUUCAGAAGCAAGAUGGAAUACUUGUAAGAAGAUCAUCAUUCUGAUAGUAGAUUAUGGUUUAUUUUUGCAUUUUUCAAGGCUGUUUAAUAGAUUAUGCAAUUUGUAAUUUAAAAUUUCAUCUAAAUAUCUUCUGAUAAUUUUCGGGUACUCUAAAAAAUAUAUCUUUACUGAUUGAUUUAUAGGGAGAAUCAAUAAUAAAAGUGGUUAGUGGUAUUUCCUCUAAAAAGUAUGGGGAAAAGAGCAAACAAUUUUGGAAUUGAACAAGCAGUUUACCAAAGUGCUGUACGAGCUUAUGAAAGCUUACUUGAAUCUGUGAAUAAAUGCAUAAACAAAAAGUAGUUGUAACAAGUUAUUAAAUGAAUAUUAUGAAACUUUUGACACUAGCCAUAGCAAAAUUCUUUCAGAAGCUAGGGGUUGAUUUGAAGGCAAUCUUUUUCCUUUGCUUGUACAUCGUGUACAAAAACAUUGGAAGGGAAUGUUUUUAUUUUUAUAUUUUUGUUAACAACUAUGACAGACAUUGCUAUUGUACAUUUGUUCUAAAUAAGUCUUUGUAAAAUAAGAAUAUGUUUUGAACUUCAGUGUAAACUGAAUGUACUUCACCACAUCUCCUGUCUGAGAUCCCUGCCAGAAAGCUCUGCAUGCAUCACUUGAUUUUUUUACUUUUGAAUAUUGUAAUAAAAAUGUCUAAUAAAGAUUUUUCCAAAUAU